GAUAAGUCAAUAAUGAAGCAAUGGCAGUGGGACCAACAGGAACAUCCUUACAAGAUCCGAAUAUAAUAUAAAUAAAGCAGCCAAGAAAACUGCCGUAUAGUCCAUACUGCAAUUUAUAAAAAAUAAUAAUAUUUGAUGCUGAAAUGGAACUUACAGAUGAAGUCGGAUGAUCCCUGUAUUUCAGGAUGAACUUUGUGUGAAUUUUGAAGUUUUUGAGAGGAUCCAUUUGCUUGAAUGAGAUUUAAACUUCCACCAGAACCACUUAGUGCAUGAUUUAUAUAUGCUCCACUGAUUUUUCCCAUUUUCUCAUCACCUACAAUAUCGACUCCCUUCAUUCUGAAAACAGAGCUUUAAUAAUACUUGUUAGCAUUUGUCAACUCAAGUUCUGAAAUGUUAUCGUGCCUCGUAAACAAGAGCACGUGCUCACAUGGAUAUAAAUGCGAGUUUACUUAAUUGUGCGUGUGUAUAUACUCAUAUUGGUCUCGUGACUAAAGUCAUGUGAGAAAUAUAUAUCAAUUUUAAUCAACAUUCUCUACAGGUGUGAGAAAGAAUUUUUGAAGACAUGGAGAAGUGAAGACGUGCAUAUAGACAAAUAUGCAUCUAUCUUUUGUAUCUAUGUACCAGAUGUUACAAGGAUCCACACGCACGUGAUAUCUAUCAAUAAGUCAAUCAAUAACAGUAUGACGCCAACCAAUCGUAUCCACUUGUACUAAUUUCAACCAAAG